rnacentral:rRNA from 1 species
UCGAGAAUCUUCGGCAAUGGGCGAAAGCCUGACCGAGCGAUGCCGCGUGCAGGAUGAAGGCCUUCGGGUUGUAAACCGCUGUCGUAGGGGAGAAAGGGUCGUUGAAGAAACGACUUUGAUCUAUCCUAGGAGGAAGUCCGGGCUAAGUUCGUGCCAGCAGCCGCGGUAACACGAACCGGACAAACGUUAUUCGGAAUUACUGGGCUUAAAGGGUGCGUAGGCGGUGCGGUAAGUGCGGUGUGAAAUCCCACGGCUCAACCGUGGAAUUGCGCUGCAUACUGCCGUGCUAGAGGGAGACAGGGGUAAGCGGAACUGAUGGUGGAGCGGUGAAAUGCGUUGAUAUCAUCAGGAACACCGGUGGCGAAAGCGGCUUACUGGGUCUCUUCUGACGCUGAGGCACGAAAGCUAGGGUAGCGAACGGGAUUAGAUACCCACGUAGUCCCUGAGCGGGCUGGCAAGGCGCAU